rnacentral:lncRNA from 1 species
AUGCUAAUAAUUAUAAGACUAGCUGUUUCACAUGCAACCACACAGAGGAAUAAGUUAUACAAAGAUAAGAGAAGAGAUGACAAGAAAAGAACAGAUAGGCAGACACAAAAAUUCACCUCCAUAUAAAUGCAUGGAUCCAAGACUGACAAACACCAAAGACCACAUCACUGAAAUACUAUUUACUUAAGGGUCAACAAAAUUCCACAGAAUCAGAGAUAGAAAACAUGGAUGGUUGAGGGACCAACCUCAAGGAAAAGGANNNNNNNNNNNGGGUGGGUAGAGUACGUUGGGCCCCCAUAUAACUUUAAAACUUUCCACACAACCCUUGAAAUCUUCUUUUUUUUCCCAUUACCCUCACAUUUACACCCUUAAAAUUUAAACAUCUUAAUUUGGUUCUGGAAAAUUUUCAAGUCCCAAUAUACAUUUACCUUUGGCUCCUUAAAAACCAGAAAUUCAUCCCUUACAUUUAAAGUUUUUCACUUUACUUCAAACCCUCUGAUCUUCAAGUUCAAAUUCUGUUCCUGCAUCAGACUCUAGAUAACACAUAUGUACAUAUUUUGCCUCUCCAUUAUCAAAAUGCUGCUUAUAGAUCAUCUCAGCUCUGUAAUCCUUGACUACUAAGAAAAAAAUAAAUCAUUCAAGAUACUGGAAUUGUGAAUAGCAGAACAACAAAACAAUUUAAGGGAACUCCCAAAUCCCUUUCACCAAUCUCAAAAUGUUGGCACAUAGAUCCAAAUCAAAAAGAAUGUUCCUCACUGCCUCUUCAAGAUCUAGGCAAAAUACAUAUACAUGGAGAUAGAAGAGAGUGAAAAAACCAUAAUUAGUCUAAUAACCUAAAUCCGACACAUUGUACAAUCAAACACCGAACUUAAUCACUCAAAUGGUCUUUUCCACUUGAGACUUUUAACCAAGUGCAAAAUGUCUUUGGCAAAAACCAUAGUUAGCCAUUUGAAUGAGAAUCAUUUUCUCUCAUGCUUGCAUCUUGAUGAGCCCAUAUAAUUGUAGAAUAAGGCAAAAUUUCUCGGAUAACAUUCCCCAAUAGUUUUUUCUUUUAAUACACUUCCAGUAACAGUAAUUGUGAUCCCCUAUCUGUAUCAAGUAGCAGUCAUCUCUAUGGAAAUCUUUCUAACAGAAUGUAAAACCAAACUCCAAACUUGAUCACUCAUAAGGUCUUUUUCACUUAAAUUUUUAACCAAGUUUUAACCGAGUGCAAAAUGUCUUUGGCACAAACCAUAGUUAGCCACUUGAAUGAGAACCAUUUACUCUCACGCUUCCAUCUUGAUGAGCCCAUAUAAUUGUAGAAUAAGGCAAAACUUCCCAUAUAAUUGUAGAAUAAGGCAAUAUUUCCCAUAUAAUUGUAGAAUAAGGCAAUAUUUCCCAGAUAAUGUUUCCCAAGCGUUUUCUUGUUUUAAUACACUUCCUGCAACAGUAAUUGCUGUCCCCUGUCUGUAUCAAGUAGGAUCAUCUCUAUGGAAAUCUUCCUUCAAGCAGAAAGCAUUGGGAGGGUAUUAAGAAAGUCACUAGUUUGAUUUACCAUUUUAGCGGUUAAUGUUCUAGCCUCCAGAAGACCAAUGGUGAGGUGAUCCAUCCCUUCAUUAUGUAAAGACAGAAGACUUUAAAUAAAAAUAAGACUAUAUCAUUUGGGGACUAAUUAAGCCAAAGGAAACAAAGUUAUUCCAGAAGACCAGUACGUGUUAAGUAUUCUUUUCCAUCAUCAAAUCCAUAGUCAUUAAAGGUGCACUUCAGGGUCAAGGCUCACAAAAGUCCAAAUGCUACUAUCUCUACACGAGAAACACAUGUGAUAUUCAUCAAGCACUUGCCUCAUGCGCCUUACUCCAAGCACAAGGCCCUAGUAAGGGGAACCUCUAUUUCCACCUCGACAAGCAUUUUGACCAAAAAAAUACCACUACUUGGAAUUUGCCAAUCUGCCAGAGUUCAAUAUUCACAAGCUGGGAGGUUUUCAGAUUUCAUAUCACUGAUGAUACCAGUUGUCAAAAUCUCAUCAACCCACCAAACCCAGGAUCACAAACCUCUCUUAUUUCCAUUUUCAACAUUAAUGGUCCUUGCUAUCCCACUCUUCAUACGUUGUUUCCAAUAAUCUUAUACUGUGUUUCUCAUCCUAACCAUUUUUUGAACUCCCAUCUGAAAUUCUCCUUUUUUAAACAUCUUGGUCAAUGCUACAUAGGUCCUUAUCUCAAAAUCAUUCUGAUACUGCUUUUUUGUUCAAAAAGGCAAUAAUGUGCUAAAGAAAUUUAUUUCUUGAACAUAUGCAUCAAUUUCUAAAGAAAAGUAAAAUAUUAACAUGUCAUUUAAGUCCUCGAUUUCUAGGUUAUCUAAUGACUCUCGUUUUCUCCUAAUGAGAGUAAUAAUGCCAUUCAGAUUUCUUGUGAAUAUCAAAAAUCUAAAGUUUGCUUUUGAAUGUACAAAAUUCAUGUCCAUUUUAUUUUUUUACAGAUUCUAAAAAAUGAUAUUAAUGAUAAGGUCAACACCUAUAUUUUUACUUAUUACUAGUUUGAAGAGUUGGUUAGACAAAGCUACAUCAAUUAUCGUUUUCUACUUUAAUUUUUUUAUUAAAUUUUAUUAUUAUGUGCCUCACCUCAUCUACGGGUGAACCCACAUACAUAGGCCCCAAAAACCCCUUUGUGCCUUGGGCGCCUUGCCUCAUUAAUAACUAGCAUCAAAUGCCAAAAAGAAAGCUAACAUCCCCAGGGGGGGUUAAGCAUCUGAUCUAAAAAAUCACCCAAUGAUAC